rnacentral:misc_RNA from 1 species
GAUGAAGAACGUAGCGAAAUGCGAUACUUGGUGUGAAUUGCAGAAUCCCGUGAACCAUCGAGUCUUUGAACGCAAGUUGCGCCCGAAGCCAUUAGGCCGAGGGCACGCCUGCCUGGGCGUCACACGUCGUUGCCCCCCCAUCUACUCCUUCGGGAUUGCGGGGGGCGGAUGAUGGCCUCCCGUGCGCCUCGUCGCGCGGUUGGCAUAAAUACCAAGUCCUCGGCGACGCACGCCACGACAAUCGGUGGUUGCGAAACCUCGGUUGCCCGUCGUGUGCGGUCGUCGCGCAUCGANGGCUCGAAAAAAUUGCCGGGCUCCGGCUCGGCUUUCAACGCGACCCCAGGUCAGGCGGGGUUACCCGCUGAAUUUAAGCAUAUCAAUAAGCGGAGGA